ensembl:lncRNA
AAUUAACAUCACUUAUAAUCCUACCACCUAUUAUAAACUAUAUUUUGGUCUUUUUUUUUUUUAACGUGCUGAAGAAACAUGUCCACUUCCUUGGUCACCAGAUUGAGGUAGCCUAGUGUUCACAGUCUGGCCCCAAGAACCGGGACCCAGGCAGCCCGGAGGAUCCCCACCCCCGAGACUGACUACAGUCACAGAGAACCAGAGAGAAAAACACAAGUGACCCCACUGAGGCUGCAGAGGCAACGGGGGCUUCCGGGACAAACAAUGGCCCUCUGUGUCUGGUUUCUCCUGAGGCCCGGAAGCGCUGGUGCGUGGCACACCGAUGAGUCAUGCAGGAUAUCUCCCCGGCCUGCUUUGUUGUGCCCAAAAAUUGCUCCCCCGACCUGAAAGGGCAGAUGAUGUCAUCGGCUGCUCUGGGGAAGCCCUGUCACUGGACAGUCCCAGGAAUGUCGCCUCCCACUAACAGCUCCCAGUCCAGGUCCCCGGCCUUGAGAGAGUUCCCGGAGAUGGGGGGUGGGUGCUAGGCAGAGAGAGCCAGCUAGGAGGAAUAGACCCUCAUGGAGUCCAGGGAAACCCCUGCUUUGUUCCCUCUGGACGCAGUGCGUGUGUGCUGGCUGCCCAGCCUCAGCUGUGUCCUGUGGAGUUUCCUGGACUCACGAGAAGCCCCGGACAAGUGUAUUAGGGGCAUCCCAGGGAGGGCCGACCAAGACUGGCAGGAAGCCGAGGGAUGGAGCGGUCACCGAAACCUAGCUUGGACUGUGCGGCCUGGGAGGGAAUGAGGACGGACUUUCCACUUGGCUGGAUUUGACAGAGAUUUCAGAAACAAAAGUCACGUGAUACUGAGGCCAUUUCGAUUUUCGGAACUUGGACAUUGCUGCCAUUUUCAGUUGUUUAAAGUAUAUCCCACUGGAUGGUCCAGAGUGUGGCUCCAGAGUCACACAGCCACACACCCACUGACUGCAUGGCCUUGAGCAAGUUACUUUACCUCUCUGAACCUUGGUUUCGUCCUCUAUAAAAUGGGAUGGUGGUACUGCUCCUAAGGCUGUGUGGGCAUGCAGAAGUUUACUACGCCAGCUGCCUAGCCAUGGCCAGCCCUAGGUAAAUGAUGGUCUCCUCUCUUCCCUUCAUUCCCCUAGAGCUUGGAUGGGGCUCUUAGUUGGGCUUCUAUUCUGGCUCAUCUCCCGGAGACUCAUGGCCUGGACAUAUUCCUUGCACCGCCUACCUUUCCUCCGGAUGCAGGUGGUGAGUGAGGCCACCUGUCAGAUCCUCUGGUGAAAGAACCGCCCCAGUCAAUCAGAAGCCCAAGAAUGAUGUCAUCGCCACCUUCUGCUGGGGUUCCACAUCUGGCUGGUUACCAUGGCGAGCAAUUGCUCAGAGGACAGCCCAAAGAGAAACACUGUAAGGAUGGAAAGUCUAGGCCAGCAGGCCCAGGGGAGAGGCGUGGGAAUCCCAGGGCUCGGCCCCAGAAACCACUGAGACCCAGGCCCCUCCUACACACACUGCAUCUGUCCCACCCCUAGGGCAGCCCCGGAGCAGCUGAGGAGCCACAGAUAGCACGCCAGGACCUGGGCAAGAGAAGCCGUUCUCGAUGGGCGCCUCUCCACCUCUGCCCUGUGCUGCUGUCCUUAGAGCGCUGGCCCUGAUCCGCCUGCCUGUACCCUUGCCAGGGAUCCACAAGUCACCUAAGGGGAAAUGACACGGUGCUGAGUGUUCCCUGUCAGAGGCUGCCAGCCCAGUGGAUCAUCACGAGAAACUACACACGCAAGUCCGCAGUCACCCCUGGCCACAAAAACACCCGACUGUGAAGGGAGUUGAAGAGUCACACUGGAGAGGUUUGAAGACAGAGGCCACGUCGGGGCAGGCCCUGGAAACGUGUUUUCAGGGGGUUCUGCCAUGGCCGGCGUGUGGGUUACUGAGCCGUGUUACGCAGUCUCUGGAAGGCCUGGCCCCACGCAGUCCCAGUGCCAGGACUGUCGCUUGGACAGCGCGCUCCCUCGUGGUCCCCUUCUGCCCACGUGGAGCAGCAGUGGCUCUCAAGAGGCCAUCCAGCCCAGGGUUCAAAAGCCCCGUCAUUUCAGCUUCAGCAACAACCUCAGUCGGUCUGGACCCUGCUUGUGUCCGUCUCCUGCCCAUCUCCACCUCCCGGAGGACCCUCCAGCCACAGAGAAGCACCCUCGCACUUCCCAGAUGGGCCCUCCUUCCGCCCGCAGGUCUUUCUUCCCCAUCGCCCCCUCUGUCCACGUCAGGGCUGUGUUAAAGCCACUGACAUGUCACUGGAAAUGCACGGAGUUGGGAAAAUUGCAUGGACUAGAGCUUCUCUUGGGGAGAACACUGCAUGUGGUUCAAAGGAAGUCUUGGACAAGACACUCAGAGAGGAGGUGAGACCCCCAAGAAUAGCGCUCAGCCCCAGCAGAAGGCUGGGGAGCAUUCUGGGAGGCUGGGCCUGCAGCCCUUUGGUCUCUCCGAGUGGGCGGGUGUGGGGCCAGAGCUGAACUGCUCACGUCGACAGAAGGCAUCCUCCUUUCUGCCUACUUCCCACUCAGCUUCCAGCCCCUCCCCCACAUCAAUAUUAAGUCAAUAUUAAAAGAAUAUCAAUUUAUAGUGUCCCCCAUCCUUAAUCUCCCUGGAACCCUAUACCCUUAGCUUGCCCUGGGCCACCCCAUGUCUCAAUCCAGGCCUGACAGCACACCCCUACUCACUCUGCAAACCCGACUCAGCCGUUCUUCCUUUGGGAAGCUUGGCUCACACUAGCACUAAACAAAUAUUGCUUUCUGUUCUUUCUCCAGUACUCAUCCCAGUGCUCAGCCCAAAGUGUGUCCCCUGGAGUGUUCGUGAUGGCCGCAGGGGCUCUUAACCUGAGUCAGCAGAGGACACCUCAUUACGCCCACACACGGCCUGAGGUGCACGUACUUAGGUGUGCAUGCAGACGAGAAAUGUGUGUGAUGAUUUCAAGCAUCUGACACCAGAUCCAUGCCCUCUCCUGCACCAGACGUGCUCCCCUUUCCGAUGUCCCUGUUCCUGUCCUGGCCCCAGCAGCCUCCUAGCCCCACUCAGCCCACUUGGAGUCUGUCUGCAAAUCCACUUGCACUUUGUCCUCUUCACCCGACUUGUGACUGCCAGCGCCCAAAUUUAGGUUCCAGUUCUGUCUACUCAGGACCCACCCUGCCAGCCAAGCCCGGGAACAGUCAGGUCGUCAGUCCCCAAGCCCAGCUUUCUUCAUGACACCAUUCUGCCUUCCAGACACAGCGGCAGGCCCACUCCUACCCACUGCCCGUCACUGAGGGCCCCUGUGAUGUGGCCCUGUCUGUUCAUCCAGCCUCCCUAAUACACACCCUCUGCUCCGAGCCUACUGGCCUCUUUGUGGCCCUGGCACGGUCCCUGCUCAAUCCCACGCCUGGGCCUCCAUUCCUGACUUUUCUCUACCUGCCGUGUUCUCUCCUCUGCCUCCUGCCCGGCCCACCAAAUCAGUGCCAUCUCCAAGGCCCGGCUCAGCUCCCAUGGACCCCAAGUUACCCUCUCUGGCCAGCACAGCCUCCAUGACUGUGCCCUCCUCUGCACCCUGUGGGCUUGAUUAUUCCACAAAGACAGAGUCUUUAAAGCCUCGGUCUACUUCAUAUAACUAGAGCGCCUACUGUGUGCAGGACACUCAUCUAACCGGGCCCCCAUAGCCAGACUAGCCAUGGCCAGGCUGAAUGUGGACUCUGGGCAUAAAAUCCUCUGGCAUCAGUGUUGCCACAGGGCUGGGGCCUGUGGGGCCACUUGUGUGACACAUGAGUCCAGGCCUGGCCUUCCUGCGGAGGGUCAGAUCUGGAGCUGGAGCUUCAGGCAAGGGGGCUGUCCAGAGACUGUAGACCCCAAACAAAUCAGUGCAGGGAAUUCCCAGGACCACCCGUUCUGGACAUCCUAAUGGGAAAAGACUCAUUAGUGGGAAUUCUGUCCUUGUCAUAUGUUUUCCACUGAACCAAAGGAUGUGACUGAGUAUCCUUUGGUUCUUAGAAAGCAACUGCUUCUACACAGAACAGAAACAGAAACUUCAGCCUGCAUUGUCGCUCUCGUGACAAGUUCUGCUUCCCAGAAGGCAGGAAAGGCCAAAGAAACAGUGUAGACUCUGUGUGAUGGGAUCAGUUUCCAUUUUUGUUGUGGAAUGAAAAAAAAUCCCCGAUUGCAGUGUGUGCCCUGGUCCCACACUGAGGGCACAAUUCAAGGCCUCUGUCUUCUGCAGAAUAUCUGGGGGCAGCAGUAACUGUCAGCUCCUGCUAUGUGCUGGCCACGUUUCAACACGAGGAGUAGGGAAUACUGCCCUACUUGAGAGGAGGUCAUAUGGCCAGGCAGUGGCAGAGCUGGGACACCUACCCAGCCCUGCCCUGCUGUCCAGAGCCUCUAAAAUGAAGCUCACGUCUCAGGGGGUUCCCAGGCCAGUGGGGAGACAAGACAGGGAAGCGUGGAAAGUGAGAUGCUGUGACUCCAGUGGCAGGAGAGUAUGUGCAGGGAAGACUUCUUGGAGGAGGUGAGGUUCUAGCUGUUUCUCUGAGGACAGGAGAAGAAGAAGAAUGGGUAGAGGGAAGAACAGGAGCAAAGACUGAGUGGAGAGAAGCAAGACCUGGAGGAAGAUGGGAUGGGAUAGAUUUCAGGGCCCUCCCAAGUAGCCUGGCAGGAACUUCUUGGUCAGCCCUUUUCGGAAACAAUUAUUUUCUAAUGAGUGGCCCCUCCUUGAGUGCGAG